CGCCUGGGGAGUGCGGCCGCAAGGUUAAAACUCAAAUGAAUUGACGGGGGCCCGCACAAGCGGUGGAGCAUGUGGUUUAAUUCGACGCAACGCGAAGAACCUUACCUGGCCUUGACAUGCAGAGAACUUUCCAGAGAUGGAUUGGUGCCUUCGGGAACUCUGACACAGGUGCUGCAUGGCCGUCGUCAGCUCGUGUCGUGAGAUGUUGGGUUAAGUCCCGUAACGAGCGCAACCCCUAUCCCUAGUUGCUAGCAGUUCGGCUGAGAACUCUAGGGAGACUGCCGGUGACAAACCGGAGGAAGGUGGGGAUGACGUCAGGUCAUCAUGGCCCUUACGGCCAGGGCUACACACGUGCUACAAUGGUGCGCACAGAGGGCUGCAAACCCGCGAGGGGGAGCCAAUCUCACAAAACGCAUCGUAGUCCGGAUCGCAGUCUGCAACUCGACUGCGCGAAGUCGGAAUCGCUAGUAAUCGUGAAUCAGAAUGUCACGGUGAAUACGUUCCCGGGCCUUGUACACACCGCCCGUCACACCAUGGGAGUGGAUUGCACCAGAAGUGGUUAGUCUAACCUUCGGGAGGACGAUCACCACGGUGUGGUUCAUGACUGGGGUGAAGUCGUAACAAGGUAACCGUA
rnacentral:rRNA from 1 species